rnacentral:rRNA from 1 species
AUUGAACGCUGGCGGAAUGCUUUACACAUGCAAGUCGAACGGCAGCACGGACUUCGGUCUGGUGGCGAGUGGCGAACGGGUGAGUAAUGUAUCGGAACGUGCCCAGUCGUGGGGGAUAACGUAGUGAAAAUUACGCUAAUACCGCAUACGAUCUAUGGAUGAAAGCGGGGGAUCGCAAGACCUCGCGCGAUUGGAGCGGCCGAUAUCAGAUUAGGUAGUUGGUGGGGUAAAGGCCCACCAAGCCAACGAUCUGUAGCUGGUCUGAGAGGACGGCCAGCCACACGGGAACUGCGGCACGGUCCCGACUCCUACGGGAGGCAGCAGUGGGGAAUUUUGGACAAUGGGCGAAAGCCUGAUCCAGCCAUUCCGCGUGCAGGAUGAAGGCCCUCGGGUUGUAAACUGCUUUUGUACAGAACGAAAAGGUUUCUACUAAUACUAGGAGCUCAUGACGGUACUGUAAGAAUAAGCACCGGCUAACUACGUGCCAGCCGCCGCUGUAA